AGAUAGAGAUAAACUGUAAACAGCAAUAAUGUUCAGCAAAGUAGGAUCUACAAAUAAGUCACAUGACCAAAAUUGUCAGUUGACCCCUUAAGGAGUUGUUGCCCUUUAUAGUGAUUUUUUAACAAUUUUCAUAAAUUUUUGUAUAUUUUUAGAAAAUAUUUUCCACUGUAAUUACUGGGCCAAGUUCAUUUUAGAUAGAGAUAAUUAUAGCAACAAGAAUGUUCAGUAAAGUAAGAUCUACAAACACAUCACGAUCACCAAAAC
rnacentral:lncRNA from 1 species